GAGACAGCAGUAGCCGCGGGAAUACGAAGGGGGCUAGCGUUGUUCGGAAUUACUGGGCGUAAAGCGCACGUAGGCGGCUUGGUAAGUUAGAGGUGAAAGCCCGGAGCUCAACUCCGGAAUUGCCUUUAAGACUGCCGAGCUAGCAGGUGAGACAGGUAAGUGGAAUUCCGAGUGUAGAGGUGAAAUUCGUAGAUAUUCGGAAGAACACCAGUGGCGAAGGCGGCUUACUGGCUCAUACUGGACGCUGAGGUGCGAAAGCGUGGGGAGCAAACAGGAUUAGAUACCCCUGUAGUCCCUGUCUCUUAUAC
rnacentral:rRNA from 1 species